rnacentral:rRNA from 1 species
UACAUGUGGGGCAAGCGUUGUUCGGAAUUACUGGGCAUAAAGGGUGCGUAGGCGGCAUGUUAAGUCAUUGGUGAAAGUUUUCGGCCCAACCGGAAAAUUGCCUGUGAUACUGGCGUGCUGGAGUGCGUGAGGGGUGGGGGGAACGAGCAGUGUAGCGGUGAAAUGCGUAGAUAUCACUUGGAACGCCAAAGGUGAAAACAGGCGACUGGGGUUGAGCUGACGCUGAGACACGAAAGCCAGGGGAGCGAACGGG